GGUCGCGUGGCCUAAUGGCUAAGGCGCUAGAUUUCGGUCAAGGAUUGAUCUUUGUCAGUCUCUUGAAAAAAAGUACACUGAGCUCUCUAGAGAUUCCAGGUUCGACUCCUGGCGCGAUCG
rfam:Purpureocillium lilacinum isolate PLFJ-1 scaffold00007, whole genome shotgun sequence.